GUUGCAGGAGUGGCUUCUGUACCAUAUAUAUAUAUAUAUUUGACAGUCGGUAGCAGAGAGGAGAGUGGCUAGGUCUAUGCUCAGUGUUCUGACCUAUGAACAUCUGAAUGAUUAGUGGCCCUGAAGA
ensembl:snoRNA